UACGUAGGGGGCAAGCGUUGUCCGGAUUCAUUGGGCGUAAAGAGCGUGUAGGCGGCCAGGUAGGUCGGUUGUGAAAACUGGAGGCUCAACCUUCAGAGGUCGACCGAAACCAUCUGGCUAGAGUCCGGGAGAGGAGAGUGGAAUUCCUGGUGUAGCGGUGAAAUGCGCAGAUAUCAGGAAGAACACCCGUGGCGAAAGCGGCUCUCUGGAGCGGUACUGACGCUGAGACGCGAAAGCGUGGGGAGCGAACAGG
rnacentral:rRNA from 1 species